rnacentral:rRNA from 1 species
CGGGUGCGUAACGCGUAUGCAACCUACCUCAUACUGGAGAAUAGCCCUUGGAAACGAGGAUUAAUGCUCCAUAGUAUCACAGAUUCGCAUGUUUCUGUGAUUAAAGAAUUUCGGUAUGAGAUGGGCAUGCGUCCCAUUAGCUUGUUGGUGAGGUAACGGCUCACCAAGGCAACGAUGGGUAGGGGGCCUGAGAGGGUGACCCCCCACACUGGUACUGAGACACGGACCAGACUCCUACGGGAGGCAGCAGUGAGGAAUAUUGGGCAAUGGAGGCAACUCUGACCCAGCCAUGCCGCGUGAAGGAUGACUGCCCUAUGGGUUGUAAACUUCUUUUAUAUGGGAAGAAACUUAUCUACGUGUAGAUAACUGACGGUACCAUACGAAU